rnacentral:rRNA from 1 species
UACAGAGGAUGCAAGCGUUAUCCGGAAUGAUUGGGCGUAAAGCGUCUGUAGGUGGCUUUUUAAGUCCGCCGUCAAAUCCCAGGGCUCAACUCUGGACAGGCGGUGGAAACUACCAAGCUGGAGUACGGUAGGGGCAGAGGGAAUUUCCGGUGGAGCGGUGAAAUGCGUAGAUAUCAAGAGGAACACCUGCGGCGAAGGCGGGUUGCUGGGCCGACACUGACGCUGAGGCGCGAAAGCCAGGGGAGCGAACGGG